UUGCACGCUGGCGGCAGGCCUAACACAUGCCAGUCGAACGGUAACAGGAAGAAGCUUGCUUCUUUGCUGACGAGUGGCGGACGGGUGAGUAAUGUCUGGGAAACUGCCUGAUGGAGGGGGAUAAUUACUGGAAACGGUAGCUAAUACCGCAUAACGUCGCAAGACCAAAGAGGGGUACCUUCGGGCCUCUUGCCAUCGGAUGUGCCCAGAUGGGAUUAGCUAGUAGGUGGGGUAACGGCUCACCUAGGCGACGAUCCCUAGCUGGUCUGAGAGGAUGACCAGCCACACUGGAACUGAGACACGGUCCAGACUCCUACGGGAGGCAGCAGUGGGGAAUAUUGCACAAUGGGCGCAAGCCUGAUGCAGCCAUGCCGCGUGUAUGAAGAAGGCCUUCGGGUUGUAAAGUACUUUCAGCGGGGAGGAAGGGAGUAAAGUUAAUACCUUUGCUCAUUGACGUUACCCGCAGAAGAAGCACCGGCUAACUCCGUG
rnacentral:rRNA from 1 species